rnacentral:lncRNA from 10 species
GGCCUUUCAGUGGCCCUCGUGGAACGGUAGGAAGCUGAGCUGGACUCUCUGCCACAUCGUUCGGUUCCCACAACAGCCUGAAAUGGGGUCUUGCCUUGUUGCCCAGGCUGGAGUGCAGCAACGUGAUCAUAGUUUACUGUAGCCUGGGCUCAACUCCUGGGCUCCAGUGAUCCUCCCGCCUCAGCCUCACAAGUAGCUGGGACCAUAGGUGUGAGCCACUGUGUUUGGCUGUAAUCGUUGUUAUUGUAGGCGCAUGUGCAUGAGGACCCUCCCUUCUUAGGCUCCUGACUCUACUUUGCUUGGGUUUGAAACAAGUGACUCCAUCUUGAAAUGGACAACUGGCACAGAAUAGAGCAUUUCAAGGGCAGAUUAGAUGGCAACUUAAAAAAAA